GCUAACGUCCAUCGUGGAGAGGGAAACAACCCAGACCGUCAGCUAAGGUCCCAAAGUGUAUGUUAAGUGGGAAACGAUGUGGGAAGGCUAAAACAGCUAGGAGGUUGGCUUAGAAGCAGCCAUCCUUUAAAGAAAGCGUAAUAGCUCACUAGUCGAGUCGGCCUGCGCGGAAGAUGUAACGGGGCUAAACAUACCACCGAAGCUACGGCUGCGAACUUUGUUCGCGGGGUAGGGGAGCGUUCUGUAAGCGGCUGAAGGUGAACUGUAAGGUUUGCUGGACGUAUCAGAAGUGCGAAUGCUGACAUGAGUAACGAUAAUGCGGGUGGAAAAACCCGCACGCCGGAAGACCAAGGGUUCCUAUCCCAUGUUAAUCAGGGUAGGGUGAGUCGACCCCUAAGGCGAGGCUGAAGAGCGUAGUCGAUGGGAAACGGGUUAAUAUUCCCGUACUUGGUAUAAAUGCGAUGGGGGGACGGAGCAGGCUAGGCAAGCAUGGCGUUGGUUGUCCAUGUGAAAGGCUGUAGGCUGGUGACUUAGGAAAAUCCGGGUCGCUAAGGCUGAGAGUCGAGACGAGCUACUACGGUAGUGAAGUUGUUGAUGCCCUACUUCCAGGAAAAGCCUCUAAGCUUCAGUUUAUAUCGAAUCGUACCCUAAACCGACACAGGUGGUCAGGUAGAGAAUACUAAGGCGCUUGAGAGAACUCGGGUGAAGGAACUAGGCAAAAUUGUACCGUAACUUCGGGAGAAGGUACGCUCUUGUUUGUGAAGGAUUUACUCCGUAAGCAAACGAGAGCCGCAGUGACCAGGUGGCUGGGACUGUUUAUUAAAAACACAGCACUGUGCAAAAUCGUAAGAUGACGUAUACGGUGUGACACCUGCCCGGUGCCGGAAGGUUAAUUGAUGGGGUUAGACGUUUGUCGAAGCUCUUGAUCGAAGCCCCGGUAAACGGCGGCCGUAACUAUAACGGUCCUAAGGUAGCGAAAUUCCUUGUCGGGUAAGUUCCGACCUGCACGAAUGGUGUAACCAUGGCCACGCUGUCUCCACCCGAGACUCAGUGAAAUUGAAAUCGCAGUGAAGAUGCUGUGUACCCGCGGCUAGACGGAAAGACCCCGUGAACCUUUACUACAGCUUGGCACUGAACAUUGACCCUACAUGUGUAGGAUAGGUGGGAGGCUUUGAAGCACAGUCGCUAGAUUGUGUGGAGCCGUCCUUGAAAUACCACCCUUGUAGUGUUGAUGUUCUAACUUAGGCCCCUAAUCGGGGUUGAGGACAGUGCCUGGUGGGUAGUUUGACUGGGGCGGUCUCCUCCCAAAGAGUAACGGAGGAGCACGAAGGUUGGCUAAGUACGGUCGGACAUCGUACGGUUAGUGUAAUGGUAGAAGCCAGCUUAACUGCGAGACAGACACGUCGAGCAGGUACGAAAGUAGGUCAUAGUGAUCCGGUGGUUCUGAAUGGAAGGGCCAUCGCUCAACGGAUAAAAGGUACUCCGGGGAUAACAGGCUGAUACCGCCCAAGAGUUCAUAUCGACGGCGGUGUUUGGCACCUCGAUGUCGGCUCAUCACAUCCUGGGGCUGAAGUCGGUCCCAAGGGUAUGGCUGUUCGCCAUUUAAAGUGGUACGCGAGCUGGGUUUAGAACGUCGUGAGACAGUUCGGUCCCUAUCUGCCGUGGGCGUUUGAGAAUUGAGAGGGGCUGCUCCUAGUACGAGAGGACCGGAGUGGACGAACCGCUGGUGUUCGGGUUGUUAUGCCAAUAGCAUUGCCCGGUAGCUACGUUCGGAAUCGAUAACCGCUGAAAGCAUCUAAGCGGGAAGCGAGCCUCGAGAUGAGUUCUCACUUUAACUUUAAGUUAACUGAAGGGCCGUUGAAGACUACAACGUUGAUAGGCGAGAUGUGGAAGUGCUGUGAGGCAUUGAGCUAACUCGUACUAAUUACCCGUGAGGCUUAACCAUACAACGCCAAAGUGGUUU
rnacentral:rRNA from 1 species